rnacentral:rRNA from 1 species
CCCUACGGGAGGCAGCAGUGAGGAAUAUUGGUCAAUGGGCGAGAGCCUGAACCAGCCAAGUCGCGUGAAGGAUGACGGCCCUACGGGUUGUAAACUUCUUUUGUCAGGGAGCAAUUGAGUCCACGUGUGGUCUUACCGAGGGUACUUGAAGAAAAAGCAUCGGCUAACUCCGUGCCAGCAGCCGCGGUAAUACGGAGGAUGCGAGCGUUAUCCGGAUUUAUUGGGUUUAAAGGGUGCGUAGGCGGACUGUUAAGUCAGCGGUAAAAGCCCGGGGCUCAACCCCGGCGAGCCGUUGAAACUGGCUG